UUCUUAAUGCUUGUUGUACCGUGGUGGGUUCUACCGCCAUCCUUCCACGGUCUCUGUCUCUGUCGCUCCGACACAACGGGACCCACAGCUAAUUACCCUCUCUUCUCGCAAUUUGAACAACACCGACCAGAGCUUCAUAUGGCAGAAAUCUUGUGAGUUCGGAAAACUAAUACUGAUUUCGUUCGCAAUGGCCUCUAAUGUUCAAAGAAAUGGCGCUCAAAGGGGGCCUAAGCUCGAUCGGUUUGCGGGUGCGAAGAUGUCGUUCAGACCAAGGGUUCCUCCUUCAUCGCAGUCUCCGGGAUCCGCUCUCCGCCGGAGUAGCCCGGCCUCUUUGGCAGCUAGAAACGGUGACGGAGUACCUGGAAGAGUUCGAGUGGCUGUAAGAUUGAGACCUCGAAAUGCUGAAGAAAUGAUGGCGGAUGCUGAUUUUGCUGACUGCGUUGAAUUGCAACCUGAGUUUAAAAGGUUGAAACUUCGGAAGAACAAUUGGGAUUCAGACACAUAUGAGUUUGAUGAAGUAUUUACUGAAUUUGCAUCACAGAAGCGUGUCUAUGAAGUUGUUGCUAAGCCAGUAGUGGAGAGUGUUCUUGAUGGAUAUAAUGGGACGGUAAUGGCUUAUGGCCAAACAGGCACGGGGAAAACUUUUACCGUUGGACAAUUGGGGGAAGAUGACAUUUCCAAUCGUGGCAUCAUGGUUCGUUCCAUGGAGGAUAUUUUAGCAGAUCUAUCUCCAGAAACUGAUACUGUCACUGUCUCGUACUUGCAGCUUUACAUGGAGACUAUCCAGGACUUGCUUAACCCUGCGAAUGAUAACAUUCCUAUUAUGGAAGAUCCAAGAACUGGUGAUGUAUCUCUGCCUGGGGCUACGAUUGUAGAAAUUAGAGACCAACAGAGUUUUUUGGAGCUGCUGAGAGUGGGGGAAGCUCACCGUUUUGCUGCCAACACAAAGUUGAAUACUGAAUCUUCUCGUAGUCAUGCUAUAUUGAUGGUACAUGUUAAGAGGUCUGUCUUAGAAAGUGAAGAUAUUUCUUCUAAUGAAAAUAAUGACUCAUCUCAUUUGACCAAACCUUCUAAACCACUUGUUCGAAAGAGCAAGCUAGUUGUGGUAGAUUUGGCAGGCUCAGAGCGUAUCCAAAAGUCAGGGAGUGAAGGACAAAUGCUAGAGGAAGCUAAAUCUAUAAAUCUUUCACUUAGUGCAUUGGGAAAAUGUAUUAAUGCUCUGGCAGAGAACAGUGCUCAUGUUCCAAUUCGUGAUUCCAAGCUUACCAGGUUGCUCAGAGAUUCUUUUGGAGGUACUGCUAGGACUUCUUUGAUUGUAACUAUUGGACCAUCUCCACGUCAUCGAGGAGAGACUGCAAGUACCAUACUGUUUGGCCAGAGGGCAAUGAAAGUUGAGAAUAUGUUGAAAAUAAAGGAGGAAUUUGAUUAUAAAAGUUUGGCCCGGAGGUUUGAAGUACAAGUCGAUAAGUUGAUUGCGGAAAAUGAAAGGCAGCAAAAAGCUUUUGAGGCUGAAGUUGAAAAAAUAAAUUUGGAGGCCCAAAGUCAUAUAGCUGAAGUUGAGAGGAAUUUUGCAGAUGCAUUGGAGAAAGAGAGGAUGAAAUGCCAGUUGGAGUACAUGGAUUCAGUCAAGCAGUUGGAGCAUAAGUUGGUGUUGAGUCAAGAAAGAUAUGACUGCAAUGGCUUUGUGGAUGCUCAUGGAGAGGGGCCCGGGCCAUCAUCCACAGAUGAAGUUGCUGAGGUCAAAAGGUUGCUUGAUAAUGAAACUAAUCGUAGAAAGGCAGCUGAAGAAGAGGUAGAACACCUAAGAAGUCAGCUGGGGAAACAUUCACAGACACAGGCUGGAGGCAAUCUGGAGAUUCUAAAUCUUCGCCAAAUGCUGGAAGAGGAGGCUCAUCAGAAAAGGAAACUUGAAGAAGAGUUAAUAAUACUGCAAAGCCAAUUAUUACAAGUGAAUUAUGAAGCUGAUCAGAUGAGAAGGUGUUUGGAAAAUGGGGGCUCCGAAAAUGCAUUUUCUGCCAUGGAUUCCGCCAUGUCUCAAGCUAGGAAUUCUCAACUCAGAGACAAUGGGAAUGGUCAGAAGGCAUCUGUUGCUACCCUUUUUGAACAAGUUGGAUUGCACAAGAUAUUGACAUUACUAGAGUCAGACGAUGCCAAUGUACGGAUUCAUGCAGUGAAAGUGGUUGCCAACCUAGCUGCUGAAGAAGCAAAUCAAAAAAGAAUUGUAGAUGCAGGUGGUCUUACAUCCUUGCUUAUGCUUCUUAGAAGAUAUGAGGAUGAAACUGUUCGCAGGGUAGCUGCAGGGGCCAUAGCCAAUCUUGCGAUGAAUGAAGCCAAUCAAGAACUUAUUAUGGCUGAAGGUGGAAUUACUCUCUUAUCAAUGACUUCAUCUGAUGCUGAAGAUCCACAAACUCUCCGAAUGGUAGCUGGAGCUAUUGCUAAUCUAUGUGGAAAUGCCUAUCUUGGAUCUUAUCAUUUGGUAUCAAAGCUGUUUGAUCCUUAAUGGGUUCCUACCACCUAUACAUUGCUUCUCCACCUUCAUCCUCACCACUCAUCUAGACAUGCAAUUCCCUAUCUAAUCGUUUUUCCUUGCCUUAUGAUACACAUUUAUUCCUUUACAUCAUAGCUUACCUAGACGUCUUCAAUUCUACAAUUAGGGAACCAGCAAUUGUGCCACCUAGCAAAAGAAUUAAAGGCAGUCAAAUUCAUUUAGAAAUUAAGGGGGAUAUGAAAAUUCAGAAACACGGAACUUCUCAACCUAGAAAUGUGUACAAGCGCUGGAGUUUCGCAUUAAAUAGUGAGUUUAAGGUUCAAAACUCGUGUCCUGAAGGAGUGCAACAACCUAGUCAAAAUAAAACACUAUUGACCAGAAAUACAUUCAUUUGUGAGGCUAAGGAGAUGCAACCUUCUCUCCAUCUCUUGGAGACUCCAACAAACUCUAAGCCUUUUUCAAGCCUAAACAUUGUUGCUAGUCCAGAUUUUAUUCAACCUCUCCCUAUUCCUGAGGAUAUGUGGUCUGACUGAAUUGUCUAUAAAUUGUCAGUGGCCUACAUAAAUCCUAUGGUAAGUCCGCAAUUCCAGUGGUGGUUGAUCACUUAAUCACAGGAGCUCAUUUUUGUACCUUAAGCAUCCUUUUACAGCUGAAGGGGAUCAGAUUUUUUUGGAUAACACCAUGAUGCUCCAUGGUUUCCCUAAGACAGUAGUCACUGAUCAUGACCCUACUUUUUGUGGUUAAUUCUGGCAUGAAUUGUUUCGGUUAAAUGGUGUUAAUUUGCACUACUGAUAAGUGAACCACCCACCAGACUGACUAUUAGGCUGAGGUCUCAAACCGGUGCUUGGAGAGUUUUUCCCCCCCUUCCUUUUUUCACUGGUGGGGAUUUUCCUAAACAAUGUGCCAAGCAGCUGCCACUAGCUGAACUUAGGUGUAAUGCCACUUAUCCUUCUGCCGUAGGAAUGACUCCUUUCAAAGAAGCCACUUAUGGAAUUCCAUCACCAACUCAUCUUCCUUAUUUAGUUGGAGGCUUCCCUAAGGGUUUGGUUGAUCGUUCAGGCCUAGCUAGAGAAUUGACCAUUCAGCCUCUUAAGCAUCAUUUGCUGAGAUCACAACAUCAAAUGGUUCCGCUGGCUAACAAAGAAGUAAAGAUGAGUUUCAAGCUGGAAAUGUUUUUUAUUUGAAGCUGCUUCCUUUUCACAGAAAUCUUAAUAAUUCUGCACUCCAUAAGCUUGCUGCUCGCUAUUAUGGAUUGGAAAAGUUGCUCAUGAGUUCGAGCCUGAGCCAUCAGAGAAUUCUCACGUGCAUCCUGUUUUCCUGUCCUAAAUAAAUCUCUUGGGAAUGCUGUUGUUAGUAGCUGGCAUCCUCUGAUUGAUGAGGAAGACCUGAAGAUGCCACUUGGGAGGACCUCUCUGUCAUCCAACAGCAAAGCCCCACCGUUCCUGCCGCUGCCACCACCCCUUCAUAUUCUUCCAUCCUUGUGGACAUUGAUGCUCUUUAGGGGGGUGUAUUGAUAUGCGUUGGGUUUGGAAUUAUAGAUUACUAUGCUAAUAAAAGGACAAGCAAUAUGAUAAAAUAAUAAAAGAAAGAAAUACUUGGCUGUCAUAUAGUUAUGGUUGGGAAUGGAAAUAUAGACACUGUACCUCACCCCUUGACACGUGUUUGUGGAUAAGGAUUUUGUUUCUCCUCCUUUUUCUCUCUCUUGUAACAGUCAUCAAUGUUAAUUCACCUUGAACUUCCUUUUUAAA